rnacentral:rRNA from 1 species
UAAUACGGAGGGGGUUAGCGUUGUUCGGAAUUACUGGGCGUAAAGCGCACGUAGGCGGAUUGGAAAGUAUGGGGUGAAAUCCCAGGGCUCAACCCUGGAACGGCCUCAUAAACUCCCAGUCUGGAGUUCGAGAGAGGUGAGUGGAAUUCCGAGUGUAGAGGUGAAAUUCGUAGAUAUUCGGAGGAACACCAGUGGCGAAGGCGGCUCACUGGCUCGAUACUGACGCUGAGGUGCGAAAGUGUGGGGAGCAAACAGGAUUAGAUACCCUGGUAGUCCACACCGUAAACGAUGAAUGCCAGUCGUCGGCAAGCAUGCUUGUCGGUGACACACCUAACGGAUUAAGCAUUCCGCCUGGGGAGUACGGUCGCAAGAUUA